CUACGGGACGCUCCAGUGGGGAAUAUUGCACAAUGGAGGAAACUCUGAUGCAGCAACGCCGCGUGGAGGAUGACACUUUUCGGAGCGUAAACUCCUUUUAUAUAGGAAGAUAAUGACGGUACUAUAUGAAUAAGCACCGGCUAACUCCGUGCCAGCAGCCGCGGUAAUACGGAGGGUGCAAGCGUUACUCGGAAUCACUGGGCGUAAAGAGCGUGUAGGCGGGUUAAUAAGUCAGAAGUGAAAUCCUAUGGCUCAACCAUAGAACUGCUUUUGAAACUGUUAACCUAGAAUAUGGGAGAGGUAGAUGGAAUUUCUGGUGUAGGGGUAAAAUCCGUAGAGAUCAGAAGGGAUACCGAUUGCGAAGGCGAUCUACUGGAACAUUAUUGACGCUGAGACGCGAAAGUGUGGGGAGCAAACAGGAUUAGAUACCCCGGUAGUC
rnacentral:rRNA from 1 species